CUAAGGUCGUGGGUUCGA
rnacentral:miRNA from 1 species